rnacentral:rRNA from 1 species
GAUGAACGCUGGCGGCGUGCCUAAUACAUGCAAGUCGAGCGAACGGGCGAGAAGCUUGCUUCUCUGAUGUUAGCGGCGGACGGGUGAGUAACACGUGGAUAACCUACCUAUAAGACUGGGAUAACUUCGGGAAACCGGAGCUAAUACCGGAUAAUAUUUUGAACCGCAUGGUUCAAAAGUGAAAGACGGUCUUGCUGUCACUUAUAGAUGGAUCAGCGCUGCAUUAGCUAGUUGGUAAGGUAACGGCUUACCAAGGCAACGAUGCAUAGCCGACCUGAGAGGGUGAUCGGCCACACUGGAACUGAGACACGGUCCAGACUCCUACGGGAGGCAGCAGUAGGGAAUCUUCCGCAAUGGGCGAAAGCCUGACGGAGCAACGCCGCGUGAGUGAUGAAGGUCUUCGGAUCGUAAAACUCUGUUAUUAGGGAAGAACAUAUGUGUAAGUAACUGUGCACAUCUUGACGGUACCUAAUCAGAAAGCCACGGCUAACUACGUG